UAGUGUAGUCAACUUCCAUACGGACAUCCAAAGGUCCUGGUACAGUACCCUUGUUAAGAUAUACUUCUCUGUGAUGCGUGUAAAGAAUCCUAGUUCUGGAUGCUGGCGUGAUGUAGUACAGAGACCUAUGACAAAGAGAGAGUUUGGAUAUAUGGAAGAUUUCCUUUUGGUGACUGAUGUUUUGCUUACCUCUGUCUCCAGUUUCGCCGGCCACUAGGUCUCUUGUUGCGUUUCUGCCUCUCCUUCAAGCUCUCCUGAAAUCGCUUCAUCUUGACCCACUUACCCCCCGCAUGGUCGUACGUACACCAUACACUGAUUCCAAUCACCAACAGUAUCAACCAGUUGCAGAUAUUCAUAGCUGGAAUUUCUGAUGGACAGCUUAUGUAGUGCUUUGCUAACCAGACCACACCCACUACCUGCCAGGAGAGCUCGAACAGUAGAAUUCCUGAGACAAAAAGAAAUACCAGUGAAUGAACGGAAAAUGAUAUCAAGGAGUUAUACUGUUGAAAACUAUAAAGCAUAUCAAUUAUUUUAUUAAAACUUUAGGCAUGAAGCAUUACAAUGCAGCAUUUUCAUAGCAAAAUACAUUAUUUCUCUUAUUUCCAUUGAUUUACUACUGUAACAUGUACGUU